AACCUAGCACACCUGCGGUGUGUACCUGCGGAGGGAUCAUCAUUGAAAACCAAUUUGACCAAGGGGUUUGCUUGAGAGGGGAGGGGGAUAAAAACUCUGCAUUUUGUUUCCCAAGCCUUGAGGGUGGCCUCUUGGACAAACAACCAAUCUUCAUGACUAGGAAAAACAAUACACAGUGGUUUGGUUGGGGGGCUGACACAAGUUCUUGUCUGACAAGUAGCUUACUGAUUUGGAGCAUGA
rnacentral:misc_RNA from 1 species